CAAAGGAGGGAGGGGUUUGGCGAAGUGAAAACCUGGGGGCAAAGCUUCCCAGCAAGGAAACAGCAGGUGCAAAGGUCCUGAGACAGACACCUGACUGGUACGUUUGAAGAAUGGUGAGGCAGGAGUUCCCGCUGUGGUGCAGUGGGUUAAUGAGCUGACAUUGUCUCUGCAGUGAUGCGGGUUUGGUCCCCAGCCUGGCACAGUGGGUGAAGAAGGAUCCGGCGUUGCUGGGGUGUAGGCCACAGCGGCCGCUUAGAUUGCACCCCUGGCCCCGGAACCUCCAUAUGCCUUGGGUGCAGCUGGUGCGGCAGCUAGUUCUGAGCCAGAGUCCUAGGAAAACAGGCCCUACAGGUCCUGGGCUCCACUGCUGUUUCCAAUCAUCCCAUUUAGUCCUCAUUACAUUUUCCAGAUGGGGAAACAGGCCCCAGGUGGACCAGUGCCUUGCCUGAGGUCACCCAGCUAGCAAGGGGAUAGCUGAGGACGGGAAGCCAGAACUGGGCGCCACUCAGAGCUGGCCUAGGGCCUGGGGGUAGCCAAGAGGGGGAGGAGGGCUUGGGGGAGGCCACCCCACCCAGGAAAUGCCGAGACCGCAGCAGCCUGUCCCUGGCCUGAGGCUGGCCUGGGCGGCCACGGUGGAGAUGGCUUUCCCUUCCCAAGGGCGCUGCUGACUCGGGUGCCCUCCUGCCCCCUCACCUCUAGGCUAGGUGUGGGCCCGAGAUUACCCAGACCUCGUGUUCAUGCCCUUGCCUGGGCUCUCUGAGCCCGUUCCUUGCUGCGAACGACGAGCAGGCCCUGCUGCCCGAGCGACCCUUGGAGGCAGGUACCGGUGUCAUCCACAUGUUUACAGAUGAAGACACUGAGGCACAGAGAGCUCAAGGACCUUGCUCCAGGCUGCACAGCCGCUAAAGUCGAUGCGAAGCAACAACUUCCUAACACUUCCCUGUGUGAGGCCUUCAUUGGGCAAAUGAGGCCCUGGGCUCAGGCCCUGCCACUCAGCCAUGGGGGGGCAGGGCAGGGCAGGGACCAGAACCCAGGGCUCAGAGUGGGGCCUCCGGUGCUGGGUGUGCAGUGGGCCAUGGCCCGAGGGGCCUGACCCCUCUCAGGGCAGCCAGCUCUGCCCCCUGCCUGUACCCACCUGUCUUAGCUUCCGCCUUCAUCAGCUGAAACCAGGAAAGGGUUUUGAAUGGCGCCUGCCACUCGCAGACACUCUUGUGCCCUGUUAACAUCUUUGCUCCUCUCGCCCCCUGCUUCCCACUUGCCCUCUUCCAGAUCCAGCUCCAACCCCAGGGAAGGGCUGAGCAGGGCUGGCGUGGGUGGAGGGGUGCAGCCAAGCCCGUGGCUUGGCAGCUGCCUGGGGUCACAAGCCAGGCACUCCGCCCUUCACACAGCUAGGGGGGUCUGGGCCUGGUCUACAGGCCCCACCUAAG